GACGAACGCUGGCGGCGUGCUUAACACAUGCAAGUCGAACGGUGAAGCCCAGCUUGCUGGGUGGAUCAGUGGCGAACGGGUGAGUAACACGUGAGCAACCUGCCCCUGACUCUGGGAUAAGCGCUGGAAACGGUGUCUAAUACUGGAUAUGUGAUGUGACCGCAUGGUCUGCGUCUGGAAAGAUUUUUCGGUUGGGGAUGGGCUCGCGGCCUAUCAGCUUGUUGGUGAGGUAAUGGCUCACCAAGGCGUCGACGGGUAGCCGGCCUGAGAGGGUGACCGGCCACACUGGGACUGAGACACGGCCCAGACUCCUACGGGAGGCAGCAGUGGGGAAUAUUGCACAAUGGGCGGAAGCCUGACGCAGCAACGCCGCGUGCGGGAUGACGGCCUUCGGGUUGUAAACCGCUUUCAGUGGGAAAGAUAAUGACGGUACCCACACAAGAAGCUCCGGCUAAAUACGUGCCAGCAGCCGCAGUAAGAC
rnacentral:rRNA from 1 species